AGAGUUUGAUCCUGGCUCAGAACGAACGCUGGCGGCGUGCUUAACACAUGCAAGUCGAACGAGAAAGCUUCCUUCGGGAAGUAAGUAGAGUGGCGCACGGGUGAGUAACGCGUAGGUAAUCUACCCUUAUGACUGGGAUAACAUUGGGAAACUGGUGCUAAUACCGGAUACACUUCUUUACUGCGGGGUAAAGGAGGAAAGGUGGCCUCUUCAUGAAAGCUACCGUAUAGGGAUGAGCCUGCGUACCAUUAGCUAGUAGGCGGGGUAACGGCCCACCUAGGCAACGAUGGUUAGCGGGUCUGAGAGGAUGAUCCGCCACACUGGAACUGGAACACGGACCAGACUCCUACGGGAGGCAGCAGUGAGGAAUAUUGGGCAAUGGGCGAAAGCCUGACCCAGCCACGCCGCGUGUGUGAUGAAGGCCUUCGGGUCGUAAAGCACUGUGGGGAGAGACGAAACUACGCAGGAGGAAAUGCCUGCGUACUGACGGUACCUCCUUAGCAAGCACCGGCUAACUCUGUGCCAGCAGCCGCGGUAAUACAGAGGGUGCAAACGUUGCUCGGAUUUACUGGGCGUAAAGCGCGUGUAGGCGGACUCGCAAGUCGGUUGUGAAAUCCCUGGGCUCAACCUAGGAACUGCAUCCGAAACUGCUUGUCUUGAGUAAUGGAGAGGGUGGCGGAAUUCCCGGUGUAGAGGUGAAAUUCGUAGAUAUCGGGAGGAACAUCAGUGGCGAAGGCGGCCACCUGGACAUUUACUGACGCUGAGACGCGAAAGCGUGGGGAGCAAACAGGAUUAGAUACCCUGGUAGUCCACGCCGUAAACGAUGAGAACUAGGUGCAGCGGAUAUUGACCUCUGCUGUGCCGUAGCUAACGCGUUAAGUUCUCCGCCUGGGGAGUACGGCCGCAAGGCUAAACUCAAAGGAAUUGACGGGGGCCC
rnacentral:rRNA from 1 species